rnacentral:misc_RNA from 1 species
GUUGUUUGAGCGGCUGACGGGAAGGAGAAGCCGAAGCUCCGGCGGCGCUGCGGGGCUGCAGUCACAACUGGAGCCCGAGCCGCCGCUCGUCUCCGGACGAGCUGUAAGCCAGGAGUACCGGCUGUGGACAGGCGGGGCCCGACGCCCGCUCUCCUUCUGAUUUCACCAUGUCGCGGGGCUCUAUUGAGAUUCCCCUUCGGGACACUGACGAGGUCAUUGAACUUGAUUUUGAUCAGUUACCGGAGGGAGAUGAAGUUAUUAGUAUUCUGAAACAGGAACACACACAACUGCACAUAUGGAUUGCUUUGGCGCUGGAAUACUACAAGCAAGGGAAAACAGAAGAGUUUGUCAAGUUGUUGGAAGCAGCACGUAUAGAUGGCAAUUUGGAUUACAGAGACCAUGAAAAAGACCAGAUGACUUGCUUGGAUACAUUGGCGGCCUAUUAUGUUCAACAGGCUCGUAAGGAAAAGAAUAAGGACAACAAGAAGGAUCUUAUUACACAGGCAACCCUAUUGUAUACAAUGGCAGAUAAAAUUAUUAUGUAUGAUCAGAACCAUUUGUUGGGAAGAGCCUGCUUCUGCCUUCUUGAAGGUGACAAAAUGGAUCAAGCUGAUGCACAGUUUCAUUUUGUACUCAACCAGUCUCCAAAUAAUAUUCCAGCACUGCUUGGUAAAGCUUGCAUUUCGUUUAACAAGAAGGAUUACAGAGGCGCUCUAGCUUACUAUAAGAAAGCCUUGAGGACUAACCCAGGUUGUCCAGGAAGCAAUCCCCUCUGCAGGAUCCCGCAGCUCCCAGGGUGGAGCGCCCUCCACCGGGUACUCACCCUGCAAGACUCUGCCUCCCUCUCCCAGGUCUUCCUGCUCCUGAGGAGGCACCGGACCUUCUCCAGGGUCCGAGGGUGGCUGGGAGCGGCCCCUGGCCAUCAGGCGAAAGGAGUCGACGUGACUCCAGAACAGGGGCCCAAACGUCUCCACGCAGAACCCAAGGCCUGUAACCUCUGCCGCACCCUCCUGCUCACUCUCGUCCUCCUCUUCCUCGCCCUCUCCAGACAGGUGCUCCUCCUCCUCCACGUCCUCCAAGUCGAAGCUGAUUCCAUCAAAAAUGGUGUCCAGCUUCUUUCCAGAGCCUAUACAAUUGAUCCUAGCAACCCUAUGGUAUUAAACCACUUAGCAAAUCACUUUUUCUUUAAAAAGGAUUACAGUAAAGUCCAGCACUUGGCUCUCCAUGCAUUCCAUAAUACAGAAGUGGAGGCCAUGCAAGCAGAAAGUUGCUAUCAGUUGGCUAGAUCAUUCCAUGUCCAGGAAGAUUAUGACCAAGCUUUCCAGUACUACUAUCAAGCUACACAGUUUGCCUCAUCCUCUUUUGUGCUGCCUUUUUUUGGUUUGGGACAAAUGUACAUUUAUCGAGGUGACAAAGAGAAUGCAUCUCAGUGCUUCGAGAAAGUUUUGAAAGCUUAUCCUAAUAAUUAUGAAACUAUGAAAAUUCUUGGCUCUCUAUAUGCUGCUUCAGAAGACCAAGAAAAAAGAGAUAUUGCCAAGGGCCAUUUGAAGAAGGUCACAGAACAGUAUCCUGAUGAUGUUGAAGCUUGGAUUGAGUUGGCACAGAUCUUAGAACAGACUGAUAUACAGGGUGCCCUGUCAGCCUACGGAACAGCAACACGCAUCCUUCAGGAGAAAGUGCAGGCUGAUGUCCCCCCAGAGAUUCUGAAUAAUGUGGGUGCCCUUCAUUUCAGACUUGGAAAUCUGGGUGAGGCAAAGAAAUACUUUUUGGCAUCUUUGGAUCGUGCAAAGGCAGAAGCCGAGCAUGAUGAACAUUAUUAUAACGCCAUUUCUGUUACAACGUCAUACAAUUUAGCCAGGCUGUAUGAAGCAAUGUGUGAAUUCCAUGAAGCUGAAAAACUAUAUAAAAACAUCUUACGGGAACAUCCUAAUUAUGUUGACUGCUAUCUGCGCCUAGGAGCAAUGGCUAGAGAUAAAGGAAACUUUUAUGAGGCUUCAGAUUGGUUUAAGGAGGCUCUUCAGAUUAAUCAGGACCAUCCAGAUGCUUGGUCUUUGAUUGGUAAUCUUCAUUUAGCAAAACAAGAAUGGGGUCCAGGCCAGAAGAAAUUUGAGAGGAUAUUAAAACAACCAGCUACUCAGAGUGACACUUAUUCUAUGCUGGCCCUUGGCAACGUCUGGCUUCAGACUUUGCAUCAGCCCACCCGAGAUAGAGAAAAGGAAAAGCGUCAUCAGGAUCGUGCUCUGGCUAUCUACAAACAAGUACUCAGAAAUGAUGCAAAGAAUCUAUACGCUGCUAAUGGCAUAGGAGCUGUUUUGGCCCACAAAGGAUAUUUCCGUGAAGCUCGUGAUGUAUUUGCCCAAGUAAGAGAAGCAACAGCAGAUAUCAGUGAUGUGUGGCUGAACCUAGCACACAUCUACGUGGAACAAAAGCAAUAUAUCAGCGCUGUUCAGAUGUAUGAAAACUGCCUCAGAAAGUUUUAUAAGCACCAGAACACAGAAGUUGUGCUAUAUUUGGCCCGGGCCCUCUUCAAAUGUGGCAAGUUACAGGAAUGCAAACAAACCCUGCUGAAGGCUAGACACGUGGCACCCAGUGAUACAGUUCUUAUGUUUAAUGUGGCCUUGGUCCUACAAAGAUUAGCUACCUCUGUCCUGAAAGAUGAAAAGAGUAAUCUGAAGGAAGUACUUAAUGCUGUGAAGGAACUGGAGCUUGCACACAGAUAUUUCAGUUACUUGAGUAAAGUGGGAGAUAAAAUGAGAUUUGAUUUGGCCCUCGCUGCUACAGAAGCCAGGCAAUGCUCUGACUUACUGAGCCAGGCGCAAUACCACGUGGCUCGGGCACGCAAACAAGACGAAGAAGAAAGGGAGUUGCGGGCCAAACAAGAACAAGAGAAAGAACUGCUAAGGCAGAAACUUCUCAAAGAACAGGAAGAGAAACGUCUCAGAGAAAAAGAAGAGCAAAAGAAACUUUUGGAACAGCGGGCCCAGUAUGUAGAAAAGACCAAAAAUAUUCUUAUGUUUACUGGAGAGACUGAAGCAACAAAAGAAAAGAAAAGAGGUGGUGGUGGUGGACGGCGUUCCAAGAAAGGAGGAGAGUUCGAUGAAUUUGUCAAUGAUGACACCGAUGAGGACCUGCCUGUCUCCAAAAAGAAGAAGCGAAGGAAGGGCAGUGGUAGUGAGCAGGAAGGCGAGGAAGAGGAGGGCGGCGAGAGAAAGAAGAAGAAGAGGAGAAGACCUCCGAAGGGAGAUGAAGGAUCUGAUGAUGAUGAAACAGAAAAUGGCCCCAAACCGAAAAAGCGCCGUCCACCAAGAGCAGAGAAGAAGAAGGCUCCCAAGCCAGAACGUCUGCCUCCUUCAAUGAAGGGAAAAAUAAAAUCCAAAGCCAUAAUAUCAUCAAGUGAUGAUUCGUCUGAUGAAGAUAAACUGAAAAUUGCUGAUGAAGGGCAUCCCCGCAACAGCCACAGCAACAGCGACUCGGAUGAGGGCGAGCGGCGGAAGAAGGGUGCCUCCUCGGAGAGCGACUCUGACGAGAACCAGAACAAGUCCGGCAGCGAGGCCGGCAGCCCCCGGCGGUCCCGGAGAUCCCACUCCGAUGAGGAUUCGGACAGCGACCAGCCGGCCAGGAAGCGCAGGCCCUCAGGCUCCGAACAGUCGGACAACGAAUCCCUGCAGUCUGGGCGGAGCCGCUCCGCAGGCUCUGAGAUGGACUCCCGGCCCGCGUCCCCAAGUGCUGAGUCGGACCACGACUCCGAAAGAGCAUCUGACAAUGAGGGCUCCGGCCCAGGUUCCGGAAAUGAAUCUGAACCCGAGGGAUCCAACAACGAGGCCUCGGAUAGGGGCUCAGAACGUGGUUCAGAUGAUAGCGACUAGGCUUUAUUUCAUGAAUAUGCUUCAUCUCUGCAGGAAACUUUUUUUUUACAUAUGAAAGCUGUGAUAAAAACAUUUCAGGUGUUUGGUCAGUGGUGAAAUUUUUGCUAAGGCAAUUUUUUUCCCUAUCCAUUCGUACAUUACUAUGACCGCAAGAGAUAUUUCCCGUGUUAGAGUCUAAUAUUUGAGUCUCUUGAGCAAAAGGUGACUAUUCUUCAUUAUGGUACAAUUCCACCUAUUACAUGUGAAAACCCCAGAAAAAUAAACCCACGUGCUGAAGCAUUCCUACAGAGUUUUGAGUGCCUACAUCAGUGGCACACGUGUCAUCUUUGUAUGUUAAGCAGUACACUGUUUGGAUUUCUAUUACAAUCUUUUACCAAGUGGUGUGAGAAACUUGGUGUUAUUGUCUUUUUCCAUUUCAAGCUUAGAUCAAGAAUAUUUUUAUUUUCUGGAGAAAGAGGUAUCUACUGUAUAAUUGCACCAAAGUACAAAUGAAAGGAAGGUUUCUUCGAUAGGGUAAUACUGCAGCCAUGUAGAUAAAACCACAAAUAUAUCGUUAGGUUGACUAAGAUGUGGAAAAAUGCUUUUCUGUUAGUAGAAUGCAAAGACCUACCUAAGCCACAUAAUAAAAUUCUUUUACCAAUUUUUAUGUGUAAAUUUUGUGUCAUUUGGGGAGGGGGGGAGCAGUACAUUUGUAUAUGAAAAUUUAGUAUCAGUAAACUGCAAAUAUUUGGAAGAACCUGAAUUAAACAAGGCUGUUUACUC